GUCUCCGACUCAGUGUCGUGAUUGGAGGGCAAGUCUGGUGCCAGCAGCCGCGGUAAUUCCAGCUCCAAUAGCGUAUAUUAAAGUUGCUGCAGUUAAAAAGCUCGUAGUUGAAUUUCGGGACCAAUAUGUCGGUCGUGCUUCGGUACGUACUGUCAUAAUUGGUUUCUCCCUUCUGAAGAACCUUGAUGUCAUUAAUUUGGUGUCUUGGGGAAUCAGGACUGUUACUUUGAAAAAUUAGAGUGUUUAAAGCAGGCUCGCGCUUGAAUACAUUAGCAUGGAAUAAUGAAAUAGGACGUUUGAUUCUAUUUUGUUGGUUUCUAGGAUCGACGUAAUGAUUAAUAGGGAUAGUUGGGGGCAUUAGUAUUCAAUUGUCAGAGGUGAAAUUCUUGGAUUUAUUGAAGACUAACUACUGCGAAAGCAUUUGCCAAGGAUGUUUUCAUUAAUCAAGAACGAAAGUUAGGGGAUCGAAGACGAUCAGAUACCGUCGUAGUCUUAACCAUAAACUAUGCC
rnacentral:sRNA from 1 species